rnacentral:rRNA from 1 species
AACGAACGCUGGCGGCAGGCUUAACACAUGCAAGUCGAGCGCCCCGCAAGGGGAGCGGCAGACGGGUGAGUAACGCGUGGGAAUCUACCCAUCUCUACGGAAUAACGCAUGGAAACGUGUGCUAAUACCGUAUACGUCCUUCGGGAGAAAGAUUUAUCGGAGAUGGAUGAGCCCGCGUUGGAUUAGCUAGUUGGUGGGGUAAAGGCCUACCAAGGCGACGAUCCAUAGCUGGUCUGAGAGGAUGAUCAGCCACACUGGGACUGAGACACGGCCCAGGAUCCGACGGAAGGCAGCAGUGGGGAAUAUUGGACAAUGGGCGCAAGCCUGAGCCAGCCAUGCCGCGUGAGUGAUGAAGGCCCUAGGGUUGUAAAGCUCUUUCACCGGUGAAGAUAAUGACGGUAACCGGAGAAGAAGCCCCGGCUAACUUCGUGCCAGCCGCCGCCGUAAGAC